rnacentral:rRNA from 1 species
GUGCCAGCCGCCGCGGUAAAACGUAGGAGGCGAGCGUUAUCCGGAUUUACUGGGCGUAAAGCGUACGCAGGUGGCUGUGUAAGUCGGACAUGAAAGCUCCUGGCUUAACUGGGAGAGGUGGUUCGAAACUGCAUAGCUUGAGGUUGGGAGAGGGACGUGGAAUUCCCGGUGUAGUGGUGGAAUGCGUAGAUAUCGGGAGGAACACCAGUGGCGCAAGCGGCGUCCUGGCCCACACCUGACGCUGAGGUACGAAAGCGUGGGUAGCAAACAGGAUUAGAUACCCGCGUAGUCC